UAGUCCACGCUGUAAACGAUGUCGAUUUGGAGGUUGUGCCCUUGAGGCGUGGCUUCCGGAGCUAACGCGUUAAAUCGACCGCCUGGGGAGUACGGCCGCAAGGUUAAAACUCAAAUGAAUUGACGGGGGCCCGCACAAGCGGUGGAGCAUGUGGUUUAAUUCGAUGCAACGCGAAGAACCUUACCUACUCUUGACAUCCAGAGAACUUUCCAGAGAUGGAUUGGUGCCUUCGGGAACUCUGAGACAGGUGCUGCAUGGCUGUCGUCAGCUCGUGUUGUGAAAUGUUGGGUUAAGUCCCGCAACGAGCGCAACCCUUAUCCUUUGUUGCCAGCGGUUCGGCCGGGAACUCAAAGGAGACUGCCAGUGAUAAACUGGAGGAAGGUGGGGAUGACGUCAAGUCAUCAUGGCCCUUACGAGUAGGGCUACACACGUGCUACAAUGGCAUAUACAAAGAGAAGCGACCUCGCGAGAGCAAGCGGACCUCAUAAAGUAUGUCGUAGUCCGGAUUGGAGUCUGCAACUCGACUCCAUGAAGUCGGAAUCGCUAGUAAUCGUAGAUCAGAAUGCUACGGUGAAUACGUUCCCGGGCCUUGUACACACCGCCCGUCACACCAUGGGAGUGGGUUGCAAAAGAAGUAGGUAGCUUAACCUUCGGGAGGGCGCUUACCACUUUGUGAUUCAUGACUGG
rnacentral:rRNA from 1 species